CUGGUGGUUAGAGGAUGAGCCGGUGGUUAGGGUAGCGAGGAGCAGCUGGUGGUUACAGGAUGAGCCGUGAUUAGGAUAGUGAGGAGCAGCUGGUGGUUAGAGGAUGAGCCGGUGGUUAGAGGAGCGAGGAGCAGCUGGUGGUUAGAGGAGCGAGGGGCAGCUGGUGGUUAGGGUAGCGAGGAGCAGCUGGUGGUUAGAGGAUGAGCCGGUGGUUAGAGAGUGGCGAGGAGCAGCUGGUGGUUAGAGGAUGAGCCGGUGGUUAGAGUGGCGAGGAGCAGCUGGUGGUUAGAGGAUGAGCCGGUGGUUAGGGUAGUGAGGAGCAGCUGGUGGUUAGAGGAUGAGUCGGUGGUUAGAGAGUGGCGAGGAGCAGCUGGUGGUUAGAGGAUGAGCCGGUGGUUAGAGGAUGAGCAGGUGGUUAGGGUAGUGAGGAGCAGCUGGUG